CUCGCUCGCACACAAAGAGAGGGAGCGGCGGACGCGCCCUGGCUGCGGUCGGCGUGAGGGAACAGAGGGGCUGGGGGCGGCGAGGGAAGCGCCUCCCGCGCUGGGAUAUACCACGGCGUAGCGACAUGCGGGUUUCGGGUGAUACCAUGUCGGGGAGGCGGCGCUGCCCGGUCACUUCUGGCGGGUCCCUCACCGGUGCUGAGGCCGGGUGAAGCGCCGCAGCUGUGACUGGCACGGCAGCAGGAGCUGAGGCAGCCCUAGCGCCGGGCUGCUGGCGGCGGGGAGCUGCGCGCUAUUUUUACAGCCCGCAGGGCAGCGCGGGUCGCGGCAGCUGCCGUGGCCGAGGCUCUGGCAGUCGGAAGUAACAACAGCGCCAAACAGGCCUUUUUCUACCCUCUUCCUUUAAAGAAUGCUGUUGUUCUUAACCCCUCCAGAACAGCCCACCCAGGAUGCUGUUCACCAGAAAUGCUCUGAUUUAAUAUCCUGACCACGUAUUCUGGCCACAGAACCACAAAUGUUAAAUGAAGGUUGGUGGAACAUCACUAAAACCUGCACUGAGCACAGCUGGCUUGCCAUCACACGUUCCUGAUGGUCUUUGAAAACUGAGAAGUGUUCCUUACAUUACAGCUCCAAGAUAUGCUGGGCAUAAAAUUAGAAGAAUCUCUUAAGUCUCCAGAAUCUCAAGCUUUUGAAUCCAAUAAUACAUUAUCCAGAUGUGUCAAGAAAUAGCAAACUUAUGACUGAAGUCUUUCCUACCAUAAGUCCUAAAGCAAGUAAAAAAAAAGAAACCUGAAUUCACCAAAUCCAAGCAAACAAGUGAUCUCUCAGAAACAAUCAUCAAGUUUUGUGCUACUCUAAGAUGACUGAAAUAAUAGUGCCUGGUGCAUAGAAGGCAUUAGCUCCAUAUGCACUAGAGAAAGACCUGCCAACUGCCUGUGCAAGAACCUGAUCUAAUUUAAAAAUUGCUAUCAGAUAUUUGCCUUCAAGUAUCACUUUAAAAAUAGCUUUAAGAACGUCAUUAGCCACUGGUGGAUUGUCACUGUUUCAGCAACUACUACUAAAGGAUUCACUUUGACAGUACAUUGAACCAAUUAGACAUACUUAAGAUGCUUAUCAGUACUCUCUGGGAGGAUAAUCAAAGUGUCUGUUCCUUUUAUUGGGAGGCUGAAGUUUCUGAUUUCAUAGGAGUUGAAACCAGACUGGCUGAUUUCUGAGGCAUCACAGCUGGAGCUAUUUCAGAUUUUGCUUCCUAGGUUUUCUGACUGCAAAGCUGCCAGCUUGUUUUGCACUUCUUAUUUUUGGAUCAGAAGGAUGAGAGGCUAUUCACAGUAACUUGUUAAUGUAGGAAGUAUCAUUGAGAGGUGACUACUAAACUGAGUACUAAACAACUACAUGUGCUUUAGAAACAAACUGUUAUCACUCCUGUAAUCAUUUGUAGUGUCAUUCUUACAGCAAAAGUCAAUGAGUAGGUACCCAUACAAGUACUGUGAAGUAACUGAAAAACCACAUUCCCUCUGAAAUUAAUGUGCUUUUGAUGAGGGCUUGAACCACAACAGGUUCACAAGGCUCACCCCACAUAUUCAGUUGGUGUAUCUUUGCCUCCUAGCCAGCACUCAGGCAGUGGUUUAUCAUCACUGUGAUAUCAUCUAUAGUACCGAGCUGGCAAAUCCACAGCUUUCCGCUGGCCCUCAGAGAGCAGGUCUCAGAUUCACAGCACAGGAAGCAAAACUGGGUGACUCUCAAGUAUGGCUAUGCUGAAUCACAGGAAAUCAAAGAGAGCUUCACUUUCAUUAUAGACUUUCUCCACACUGAGGUUUAAACCUCUAAUAGCAGAGUUACAGGCUGAGCCUGAAAAGUUGUACUUUAAUCUGGUCGAAACAACUGCAGUUUAGGUUACAGAAAAGCUGAUUACAGCAACUUAGUUUAAACAUGAGAAUAAAACCACAGAGCUGCUCACAUGGAUGUCUUAUGGGGUGAGUAGAUGAGCAGAGCAAAACAUCACAAGACAUAACAGAAAGGACAGUAGAAUCAAGAGAAUAUUUGCCUUGGGGCACAAUCUAGCUCUGAGAGAUUUAUUGUACCUAUAGCUCUAGGUGUAUGUUCACAUACUAAACACCAGAGAGUUGGAGAUCUUAGCCUUGUGGUAAAGCCUGCUGGCAAAGUAAAUUAUGCUCUGUUUGUAAUCACAUCUUUCCAAACACUGGUAUCCUAAUGAGACUUUGAAAGCAUCUGUCUACACAUUAACACCUACCAGCAAAAAGCAAGUCCUUGUAUGCUGGUAAUGUGGCCCAUUUCCAGGUCACACAUCAACCUGGUGUGCCUUUGGAAAGCCCGGUUUGGAGGCAUGGAUGUGCACUGGAUGAUUUUGGCUGUGAACCUUUCCACCAAGUUAUUCCCCAGUGCUCAGGCUCACAUUCCAAACCACUGAGCAUUUUCAAGCAGCUGCCCAUUUCUUAGUGUCAGUAAUAGUCAGAAAAUAUUUCUUGCUUCCUAGCUCCUAAGUUUCUUCCCAAAAUUACUUCUGAGAUGCAGACUAGCCAACAUUCAGCUCUGUAGUAAUAAAAGCUCAAUAACUUG